rnacentral:rRNA from 1 species
GACGAACGCUGGCGGCGUGCUUAACACAUGCAAGUCGAACGGUGAAGCGCCUUCCUUUUUGGUGGGUGUGGAUGAGUGGCGAACGGGUGAGUAACACGUGAGUAACCUGCCCCCUUCUUCUGGAUAACCGCAUGAAAGUGUGGCUAAUACGGGAUAUUCUGGGUCUGUCGCAUGAUGGGUCUGGGAAAGAUAUUGUUUCGGUGGGGGAUGGGCUCGCGGCCUAUCAGCUUGUUGGUGGGGUGAUGGCCUACCAAGGCGGUGACGGGUAGCCGGCCUGAGAGGGUGGACGGUCCCACUGGGACUGAGACACGGCCCAGACUCCUACGGGAGGCAGCAGUGGGGAAUAUUGCACAAUGGGCGCAAGCCUGAUGCAGCGACGCCGCGUGAGGGAUGGAGGCCUUCGGGUUGCGAACCUCUUUCGCCAGUGAAGCAGGCCUGCCUCGUUUGUGGGUGGGUUGACGGUAGCUGGAUAAGAAGCGCCGGCUAACUACGUG